rnacentral:rRNA from 1 species
UAUGGAAUCUUCCGCAAUGGACGAAAGUCUGACGGAGCAACGCCGCGUGAGUGAAGAAGGAUUUCGGUUCGUAAAACUCUGUUGUUAGGGAAGAAAAAAUGUAUAGUAACUAUAUACAAAAGAGACGGUACCUAACCAGAAAGCCACGGCUAACUACGUGCCAGCAGCCGCGGUAAUACGUAGGUGGCAAGCGUUGUCCGGAAUUAUUGGGCGUAAAGCGCGCGCAGGUGGUUUAGAAAGUCUGAUGUGAAAGCCCACGGCUCAACCGUGGAGGGUCAUUGGAAACUAAUAAACUUGAGUGCAGGAGAGAAAAGUGGAAUUCCUAGUGUAGCGGUGAAAUGCGUAGAGAUUAGGAGGAACACCGGUGGCGAAAGCGGCUUUUUGGCCUGCAACUGACACUGAGGCGCGAAAGCGUGGGGAGCAAACAGG